rnacentral:rRNA from 1 species
AGAGUUUGAUCAUGGCUCAGGACGAACGCUGGCGGCGUGCNUUAACACAUGCAAGUCGAACGAUGAAGCCUAGCUUGCUAGGUGGAUUAGUGGCGAACGGGUGAGUAAUACGUGAGUGACCUACCUUUGACUCUGGGAUAAGCCUGGGAAACUGGGUCUAAUACCGGAUACGACCAAUCUCCGCAUGGGGUGUUGGUGGAAAGCGUUAUGGAGUGGUUUUAGAUGGGCUCACGGCCUAUCAGCUUGUUGGUGAGGUAAUGGCUUACCAAGGCGACGACGGGUAGCCGGCCUGAGAGGGUGACCGGCCACACUGGGACUGAGACACGGCCCAGACUCCUACGGGAGGCAGCAGUGGGGAAUAUUGCACAAUGGGCGCAACGUGAUGCAGCGACGCCGCGUGAGGGAUGACGGCCUUCGGGUUGUAAACCUCUGUUAGCAUCGAAGAAGCGAAAGUGACGGUAGGUGCAGAGAAAGCGCCGGCUAACUACGUGCCAGCAGCCGCGGUAAUACGUAGGGCGCGAGCGUGUCCGGAAUUAUUGGGCGUAAAGAGCUUGUAGGCGGUUGGUCGCGUCUGCUGUGAAAGGCUGGGGCUUAACCCUGGUUUUGCAGUGGGUACGGGCUAACUAGAGUGCAGUAGGGGAGACUGGAAUUCCUGGUGUAGCGGUGGAAUGCGCAGAUAUCAGGAGGAACACCGAUGGCGAAAGCAGGUCUCUGGGCUGUAACUGACGCUGAGAAGCGAAAGCAUGGGGAGCGAACAGGAUUAGAUACCCUGGUAGUCCAUGCCGUAAACGUUGGGCACUAGGUGUGGGGGACAUUCCACGUUUUCCGCGCCGUAGCUAACGCAUUAAGUGCCCCGCCUGGGGAGUACGGCCGCAAGGCUAAAACUCAAAGAAAUUGACGGGGGCCCGCACAAGCGGCGGAGCAUGCGGAUUAAUUCGAUGCAACGCGAAGAACCUUACCAAGGCUUGACAUAUACUGGACUGCGUCAGAGAUGGCGUUUCCCUUCGGGGCUGGUAUACAGGUGGUGCAUGGUUGUCGUCAGCUCGUGUCGUGAGAUGUUGGGUUAAGUCCCGCAACGAGCGCAACCCUCGUUCUAUGUUGCCAGCACGUGAUGGUGGGGACUCAUAGGAGACUGCCGGGGUCAACUCGGAGGAAGGUGGGGAUGACGUCAAAUCAUCAUGCCCCUUAUGUCUUGGGCUUCACGCAUGCUACAAUGGCCGGUACAGAGGGUUGCGAUACUGUGAGGUGGAGCUAAUCCCUAAAAGCCGGUCUCAGUUCGGAUUGGGGUCUGCAACUCGACCCCAUGAAGUCGGAGUCGCUAGUAAUCGCAGAUCAGCAACGCUGCGGUGAAUACGUUCCCGGGCCUUGCACACACCGCCCGUCAAG